UAGGGAAUCUUCGGCAAUGGGCGAAAGCCUGACCGAGCAACGCCGCGUGAGCGAUGAAGGCCUUCGGGUCGUAAAGCUCUGUUGUUAGAGAAGAACAAGUACGAGAGUAACUGCUCGUACCUUGACGGUACCUAACCAGAAAGCCACGGCUAACUACGUGCCAGCAGCCGCGGUAAUACGUAGGUGGCAAGCGUUAUCCGGAAUUAUUGGGCGUAAAGCGCGCGCAGGCGGUCUCUUAAGUCUGAUGUGAAAGCCCACGGCUCAACCGUGGAGGGUCAUUGGAAACUGGGAGACUUGAGUGCAGGAGAGAAAAGUGGAAUUCCACGUGUAGCGGUGAAAUGCGUAGAGAUGUGGAGGAACACCAGUGGCGAAGGCGGCUUUUGGUCCUGUAACUGACGCUGAGGCGCGAAAGCGUGGGGAGCAAACAGGAUUAGAUACCCUGGUAGUCCACGCCGUAAACGAUGAGUGCUAGGUGUU
rnacentral:rRNA from 1 species